GUGACAGGGCCACAGCCCUGGCCGGAUCCGGCUGACGAGACAAUGCCUCUGACAGCCCGCUCACGGCGCGAGAACAGCUCCAACGUUCAAAACUGCCACCCGCCCGCCGGACGUAGUCGUCUCAUGACGUCCUUCCGUCGAGGGUAGCUCGGCUGUCGCCAUGGAAACGGGCGAGACACGGAAAGCUGAGGGCCCUGUCGGAGAAUGUCCCCGUUAUUCAGGCCGAAAAGGGAGACUCUGGGCCAGGAGGCCCGGGUUCAAGUCCCACUUGGCCCAGAGAUUGUGUCGUAACAUCUCUGAACAUGUUAAUUAGGAAAAUAUGUAUUCACGUGCAGGGGGGGAAAACAUUCUUAAAGGGCUCUCGUGACAUAGUGAUGAUGUCCCUAUCUCUGAUCCAGGAGAACCGGGUUCGAGUUGCAUGUGCUAGAAGUGUGCGGAAACAUCUCUCCGAACAGACUGAUAUCUACAGCAAGGCAGGCAUCCUAUAAUCUUCUGGCUAUUGUUACUCCAGCUGCUCUGUAAUAAUUCUCCUUGAUUAUCCCAGGAUAAAGAAACAUAGUUGCUUGACGACUCUCUGCCUCCGGCCUCCACUCCCAGUGAGGCAGCCUCCCUUGGUUGUUUCCAGAUAUGGUGUGGCGCAGCCUCUCAGCAUGGCAUGGCGACAUCCCAAAGCGGCCUCCCGGCAUGGCAUUCUCAGCCCAAUGUGGAGCUGCCACAGUGUGAUUUGGUCCCACACCUCCAGAGCAUUAAUGUGGGCCUCUGGAAUACUAGGCCACCAACUUCACCACUCAGAUAUGUUCUGCAUCAACCUUUUCAGGGAUGUUAUUAUACACCUCUGGAACAGGUGGGACUUAAACUCAGACCUCCUGGUUCAUAGUUGCUUUGCAGACACCAAAAUUAGCCUAGUUGCUGGGAUACCAGAGGUGAGAUGAAAAUAGAAAAUGCUGUAAGUACUCAUUAACUCCUCAGAACUGUUCUAAUAUAAGGACAUCAAUCUGUUUCUCUCUCUAUAGGCACUGCUAGGCUUGCUGCACAUCUCCAGCAUUUUCUGGUUUUAUUUCAGAUUUCAAAGAUUUGCAGUAUUUUAUUAUUGUAAGAUUGAGUUAGGCUUCAACCUGAGAGCUCCUCAGGGAGGAGGAGCAGAGUGGACCAGCCAGAAAGGCCUUAAUCAUCUUCCUCAAUCCCAUCCCAGGGAUUGUUCCGAUGCUACAGCCAGUGAACAUCGUGGCUGCUGUUCCCCUUUAGCAACCAGUCCCACAGCUGCUUCCUUCCCUGGUGCAUAGAUUGACCAAACCAUGAACUUGUGGAACUGAGCCAUUUAAGCUGAGCUAGCCCACCACAUUUGGACAUUUUGUGGACCUGUGUAUUUUGGAUACAUUUUUUUUCUCUGUCACUCAGGGUAGCUCAAUGGUUAGCACUGCUGCCUCACAACACCAGGGACCCAGGCCUGAGUCCACCCUUGGGUGACUGUGUGCAUUCUCCCUUGUGUCUGUGUGGGUUUCCACCAAGAGCUGUGGAUUCUUACCACAGUCCAAAAACGUGCAGGUUAGAUGGUUUAGUCAUACUAAAUUGCCCUGUUGUGUCCAGAGAUGUGCAGGGUAGGUGGAUUUCACUUGACAUGAUACUGCAACUGCAGUGCAAUGGCAGUCAAUGUGUUCUUAGAUAACGCUGCUAAAAUAAAAAGACCAUA